rnacentral:lncRNA from 1 species
UUUUUUUUUUUUUUUUUGAACAUCUAUCUGGAUUUUGACUAAUUCUACAAUCCAAAAAAUAAAAUAAAAAUACAAAUCCAUGAUGUCAUUGUUCUCCUAAAAAACUGAUCGUUUUCGAUGGCUGCAAAGUUGGGACACUACGAAAUCGACUCCAAAACUGUUCGCUGAUUAAUUUCAACACAAAGGUCCCGAAAAUCAAACAAUUAGGAUCUGAAAACAAACAAGAAAAAUGAUAUUAUAUAUAUAUAUAUAUAUAUAUAUAUAUAUAUAUAUAUCUGUGUGUGUGUAUUUAUGUACGUAUUUACCAGUUAAAGAGGGGACGAGUGUAUUGAGAAGGAGCAGCAGGAUCAGAGACGCGCAACCCAUUUUUCAUCACUCGGUGGUUUCUUAGUUCUCAAAAAUUUUAAUUUUAAUUGAAAAAUGACAAAUAAAGUUGUAAGUGAAUAGUACAAAAAAAGAUAAAAAUAUGGUUUUUCAUAAAAAAAAAAUAAAUGGUACCAAAAGUGUUUCGUUAAAACUCACAAACAAAAUCCGAUCCGGUGAGAACGGUGGCUGUGGUGGGUACCCGGUGACCCAAUGUACCACAGGUCUCAGGUCUGCGGUGAUGGACCCAAACUUCUAACUGGGUCGGAAGGGAAACAUGGACUCAGGUUGGAGGCCCAUAUAUGUUGCCCUUUCGUUUCUAUACUUAUUUUUACAUAUUUCUAUAAACAUCCACAUAAAUUUCUAAUAUUUCUAAUUUAUUCCUGCUUAAAAUAGAGAAAUAAAAAUUGGCACCAUUCCAAACCCUUUCUGUUUUUUGGUCAAGGAGGAAUUUUAUAACAAAGUCCAAACGGACGCAGUAGAAAGAUAACAGCUUCAUAAUUGAGGUAGGUACAAAUGAGACGUCACUUGUACAUUCAUCGCAUGAGUAAAGGUUCUCAAUUAUACCUAAAGCAUACAAAAAAAUUACAAGAGAUAUGGCUCGGCCCAAAAGCCGAAGUCCACCCGAAGAGGCCCAAAAGUGACCCCUCCGAAAAAAUCUAAUAACCCUAAAACGAGAAUCACCCACCGCCUCAACCGCCUCACCAUUCCAAACCCUUCUUGAUUCUUAUUCUCCUUCUUUCGCCUUCUCUUAAUUCUUCUCCAAACACAGAUUUGCCAUUGGGCUCCACUGCAUCUGGAAUUGACAGUGCACUGUGCACUGCAACAGUGGCUCAGAAAAGGACGACGCCGUUUCCCAAAUUCUCAGUCAAGCACCGCCUGAAAUCCUUAUGGCCCUAGAGCACCAAGAGGAGGUGGCGGACCCACAUACCAUGGGAUGGCUCUCGUAUGAGGGGUAUACUUAGGGAAUAAAUUUAAUUUAAAUAAUUGAAUAUGCAACGGAAAAAUAAUAAAUAACAUACAAUAUGUUAUUCCAAUAUGCUAAAAAUGUCUCUAUAAUCUUAUCAAAUAGUGCUAAUAGCAUUUUAACAACUACACAACACCAAAGUGCGUCGAAGUGAGGCACCUGAUGAGCCUAAAAACAGAGGUGGAUGGUUUAAGGGUUGCGAUGGAAAGCAAUAUUGGAGCAAAAAAGGGGCAUAAAAACCCAAAUUUUGAGACGAAAGGUCAAGAAAACCAAAAUACAAGGGGUCUAAGUAAAAUACAGAGAAGCUAAGGAGACAAAGGAGAAGGAAAAGUAGUUGGAAUUGGCCAGAGAAGGGGGUUGCCAUCGACCCCCACCCAAAGUAGGUGUUGGUGGCAUUGUCUUCAUGAUUCAGCGUGUCCGUGUUUGUCUUAUCCAUUUUGCUUUAAUGUCUUUGUGUUUUUUAAAACUUCCAUGUUAUGUAUCAUUGAGGGCUUCAAAAAGAAAAAUAAAGAACGGUUAGAUCUUUCAUGUUGCGUUCUAAUUAUCUUUGCAAUGAUUAAAUUUUUUAUAAAACUCCUACUUGAAUGGUAUGUACUAUUGCAGUCGAACUUUUAUUAGUAUUUAAUAUAACAGGAUAGUGUUAUUUACACAUCUGUUUUACCCACACGCAUUUGUUAAUUUUGAACCAUCAAAUUUCUUCAAUUCAUUCGAUUAGACGGUUGGAUAUUGACCUCUCGUUGAUUUCUGUUCUUUGAUAUUUUUCAAUUCAUCUUAUCAGACAUCCGAAAAUUAAAAAAAUGUGUGAAUAUCACACCCCUAAUAAAAAAUGGUGGAUAGCACUACCCUAAUAAGGUUAGUGGAGUGUCAACUUCAUCUCUCGUAUUUUUCCACUCUUCAAAGUGAAGAUAUAUGAAUCUCAUCAUAUAGAUAAGAUUCUGUUAUAAGCUUAUCGUCAUAUCAAUGCUAGGUUAGGUUAGCGGCAGCGGCAUGGUCCCUUUUGGCCCAUACGUCCGUACACAGCUCCGUUAACUUAUCACGGAUGGGCAUUAGGAUAAGUUCUACUAGAUACCAGAAUCCCAGAUGGAAAAUUUAUCUCGUGUUCUCUGUACAAGUUAUACUAACGAGAGCAUCUUUCAACAAUCCAGAUGGAUAAGCAAUAACGGAGUUGUACCAACGGAAAUUUCAAUCGACGUUAGAUUCAUAUCCAUGUUUCUGGCAUCAAGUUAGGGUCUCGGAAAAUAGGGUCCCCUCUGGCAAUGGCCGGAUCGACAUAGAGAUUCGGAUGAUACCAAUAACCUCCGACAGUCCGACUGCCCGAAAAAUACAUGCGAAGGUCUUUCGAGGACUAUCCAAAUGUAUGACACAGACUCAUUAAUAGUAUGAUGAAAUGCCUUCCAAAAAUAUCUUGACAACAUUUGGCUAGACAUGUCAACCAUGCCUAGCCUGAGAUCUCAACAGCACUCGACAAGUUUUUUUGGCUUUGUUAAUACAACGCAAUAACGAUCGGUCCACUAAAUGCUCGACAAAUUUUUACGUGUUACGCGCACAUUAGUUUCUUUUUGUGUGCAUAUUUUUUAAAAUUUUAUUUGUGUUUGUACCCAUGUGUAUGUCAUCAUGUAACAUUGUAUAUUUAAUCAAUGAUAGAAAAAUUACAUAUGGUAUAUUUAUGUUUUAUGCCUAACUUUUGUAUCAUAUAUUUAUAUUUUUAGUUUGUACCCACUUUUAAUUUGCAACAUUUUUUAAAAAAAUUUGUAGUAUUUUCUUUUUAAUUUUAUUUUGUACCCAUGUAUUAAUUUCUUUUAGUGCCUAUAUUUUUUAAGUACCAAUUUUUUUAACACUAUGAAUACAUUCUUUUGUCAUUUAUUAUUUCUUAUUUUUACAUAGUUUUUAUCCAUUUAUUCAAUUAAAAUGUUUGAAUUUUUUUAUUGUAACCGUUUCUAAUAGUAUUAUAACGAAGAAUUUAAAAUUUAUAGGAUAAUAAAUUUCAUAAAAUAUCAAACAAUUAAUAUCAAAACUAUAAAAAAUAUAAAUAUUAAUUGUAAUAUAAUGAGGUGUACAAAGUCAAUAAACUUUAAUUAAACUUUGAAUACCAUUAAAAUUUUAGUCAAAGAAUGUUAAGGAUUAAAAACCGCAUCCAAAAUAUCCCUUAAUUGUAUGACGAAAUGCCUUCCAAAAAUAUCUUGACAACAUAUCUUGACAACAUUUGGCUAGACGUAUCAACCAUGCCCACCCUGAGAUCUCUCGACAGCACUCUGACAAGUUUCUUUGGCUUUGUUAAUAUAAUUCAAUAACGAUCGGUCCACCAAAUGCUCGACAAAUUUUUGCGUAGCCGCGCACAUUAUUCAUCUAAAUAGAACCUGAAUGUUUUAGGCUGAAAUUCUUAAUCCUGAAUCCGCCAGCCAUACGUCCACACUUACAACUACGACGAAUAGCGCCCAUGGAUAAGAUAUCUUUCUACAAACGAGAAGUAUUGACACAAGCACCAGAUUAUAUAGAUCCAGUACCACAUCAUAAUACAUUACACAUGCACGAACUAAUAUGCAGUUUUAUUAUUCAAAAUACAACAGCAGGAACUUGUAAGGGAAAAUUAAACACUCUCUUUACAAAUAACAGCAGAGAUUAUGCAGAUUUAGCAACAUGGAAACCCUAGCAACUCGGAACGAACACACCCAAACCCUAGCAACAGCGGAGAUUCAACCACUAUACUUAUAUAGUCGCACAUGCACUAGAUUGAAACUCAGAACAAACAACACCCAAAACCCUACGUGGAAACCCUAGACAGUUUCUUUUUUCCUUCCAGCCAUGGCUAAACCGUCCACAGAAAAC